GAUGAACGCUGGCGGCGUGCCUAAUACAUGCCAGUCGAGCGAACGGACGAGAAGCUUGCUUCUCUGAUAUUAGCGGCGGACGGGUGAGUAACACGUGGAUAACCUACCUAUAAGACUGGGAUAACUUCGGGAAACCGGAGCUAAUACCGGAUAAUAUUUUGAACCGCAUGGUUCAAAAGUGAAAGACGGUCUUGCUGUCACUUAUAGAUGGAUCCGCGCUGCAUUAGCUAGUUGGUAAGGUAACGGCUUACCAAGGCAACGAUGCAUAGCCGACCUGAGAGGGUGAUCGGCCACACUGGAACUGAGACACGGUCCAGACUCCUACGGGAGGCAGCAGUAGGGAAUCUUCCGCGAUGGGCGAAAGCCUGACGGAGCAACGCCGCGUGAGUGAUGAAGGUCUUCGGAUCGUAAAACUCUGUUAUUAGGGAAGAACAUAUGUGUAAGUAACUGUGCACAUCUUGACGGUACCUAAUCAGAAAGCCACGGCUAACUACGUG
rnacentral:rRNA from 1 species